UAAGUGACAGUACUUUAAGUGAUCAUAAUUAUUUACCUAAUUAUUAAUUAUAGACUACUUUUAAUUAUAGAUCUACCUAUUUAGUGUUAAGUAAUUAAAUCUAGAUCUAGUUCUAACUUACCUCUACUCUAAACUCUAAACAAUAGUAACUUUUUACUAGACUCACAAUUUUAAAAACAAAUGGUUUUUUUUUGUGUGUGAAAUAAACCUAGUAGGCCUAGUCUAUUUAUUUUAAAAUAAACCUUAUGCUUAGAUAUCUAUAUCUAAAUUUUCCAAAUGCAUUUUCAGAAGUUCGAAUGAGGAGAUGGAGAUGGCUGGGCCAUGUCCUACGCAUGAGCAAAAGAUGACUCCCCCAACAUGGCACUGGAAAACGAAAGAGGGGAAGACCACUGGGAACAUGGAGGAGAGAGAUGGAAGAAGAAGUGCAAGCUGCUGGCAAGACUUGGCAUGAACACAAGUGGCUCGCCCAGGACAGAGUGGAAUGGCAGGGAUUUGUUGCUGCCCUAUAGUCCACAGGGAGUGAUGAGGAUUAAAGAAAGCAGACACAGAUCCAGUGUUGGAAGAGGAAGUAUUUUACAUAAAAGAAAAAAAAAACAGAUGUCAAAGCAGGUAUUGGCUGGUGCAGAAACAGCAUGAAAGGAUUUUUGUAUCUUUCCUGGACUGAUGACUUUCAUUCAACCUGAUCAUUUUUUAAUUUGCAUCAACUAAAACAUGUUAUAUAAAUCACUUUGUUGUACUCACACCUUAAACUUAAACCCAUUAUUACUUUGUUCUUUUCAUUGAUAAUUGAAAUUUAUAUGAUUGCAUCUAAAUCUAAUAAAUAAAUAUUUUUUGGAAAGCAAACCAUUUUGGUUCUUUUUAUUUUUAUCUUUUGUUUUAAUUUGAAACCAGGUCUUGUAUAAGAAAUUAUACUGGUGGAUCUGUCAGAGUAACACCAUGUUUGCACUUACCACAUGAAUACUAUACAUGUCUAGAAAAAAACAACUUGCAAUGAGUAAGCCUUCAUAUACAUGUUCUGAUAAAAUAAGCUUAUGCUGAAGUUUUUUCUCUAGACUUGCGCAAUUCACAGUGCAACAACAGUAAUUGGAAGUAAGCAGUCAAUAAAUAAAUAUAUUUAUUAGACACCAAAUUACAUAUUAAAUAUUUAGAAUGAAUAAAUAAUCAUAGUGAGAGAUAAUGGUUCCAUUAAUUAGUAUCACUAGCUUAACUGAUGAAUUUUUAUAACUUACUAUAAUGUGUUCAAGCAAGGUUAAUAAUAUUGAUAAUCUAUAGGCCUAACUAUAAGAAGCAGCUGAAUACCUUUGUAGAGGGCCUAUA